rnacentral:rRNA from 1 species
CUUGGUCAUUUAGAGGAAGUAAAAGUCGUAACAAGGUCUCCGUUGGUGAACCAGCGGAGGGAUCAUUACAGAGUUGCAAAACUCCCAACACCUAUGUGGACUAGCCUGCGAAUUGCUUCGGCGAGGUGGCUCCCCUGCGGACGCCAGCGCCCUUGAACGGUGCAGCCCGCCGGAGACAUCCAAACUCUUGUAUCUUUUAGCAUCUCUGAGUACUAUACAAAUAAGUUAAAACUUUCAACAACGGAUCUCUUGGUUCUGGCAUCGAUGAAGAACGCAGCGAAAUGCGAUAAGUAAUGUGAAUUGCAGAAUUCAGUGAAUCAUCGAAUCUUUGAACGCACAUUGCGCCCGCUAGUAUUCUGGCGGGCAUGCCUGUCCGAGCGUCAUUUCAACCAUCAAGCCCCAGGCUUGUGUUGGGGCCCUGCGGCCGUCCGCAGCCCCCGAAAAGCAGUGGCGGGCUCGCUAUCACACCGAGUGCAGUAGUAUCUCCUCGCUCUGGUCGUGUGGCGGGUGCCGGCCGUGAAACCCCCUACAUCUUACAAGGUUGACCUCGGAUCAGGUAGGAAUACCCGCUGAACUUAAGCAUAUCAAUAAGCGGAGGA